GAUGAACGCUGGCGGCGUGCCUAAUACAUGCAAGUCGAGCGAACGGACGAGAAGCUUGUUUCUCUGAUGUUAGCGGCGGACGGGUGAGUAACACGUGGAUAACCUACUUAUAAGACUGGGAUAACUUCGGGAAACCGGAUCUAACACCGGAUAAUAUUUUGAACCGCAUGGUUCAAAAGUGAAAGACGGUCUUUCUGUCACUUAUAGAUGGAUCCGGGCUGCAUUAGCUAGUUGGUAAGUUAACGGCUUACCAAGGCAACUAUGCAUAGCCGACCUGAGAGGCUGAUCGGCCACACUGGAACUGAGACAGCGUCCAGGCUCCUACGGGAGGCAGCAGUAGGGAAUCUUCCGCAAUGGGCGAGAGCCUGACGGAGCAGCGCCGAGUGAGUGGUAGAGGUCUUCGGAUCGUAAAGCUCUGUUAUUAGGGAAGAACAUAUGUGUAAGUAACUGUGCAGAUCUUGACGGUACCUAAUCAGAAAGCCACGGCUAACUACGUG
rnacentral:rRNA from 1 species